AAUAGAUACCCAGGUAGUCCAUGCCGUAAACGAUGUCUACUAGCCGUUGGGGCCCUUGAGGCUUUAGUGGCGCAGCUAACGCGAUAAGUAGACCGCCUGGGGAGUACGGUCGCAAGACUAAAACUCAAAUGAAUUGACGGGGGCCCGCACAAGCGGUGGAGCAUGUGGUUUAAUUCGAUGCAACGCGAAGAACCCUACCUGGCCUUGACAUACAGAGAACUUUCCAGAGAUGGAUUGGUGCCUUCGGGAACUCUGAUACAGGUGCUGCAUGGCUGUCGUCAGCUCGUGUCGUGAGAUGUUGGGUUAAGUCCCGCAACGAGCGCAACCCUUUUCCUAUUUGCCAGCACUUCGGUGGGAACUUUAAGGAUACUGCCAGUGACAAACUGGAGGAAGGCGGGGACGACGUCAAGUCAUCAUGGCCCUUACGGCCAGGGCUACACACGUGCUACAAUGGUCGGUACAAAGGGUUGCUACUGCGCGAGCAGAUGCUAAUCUCAAAAAAGCCGAUCGUAGUCCGGAUCGC
rnacentral:rRNA from 1 species